CCUACGGGUGGCAGCAGUAGGGAAUAUUGCUCAAUGGGGGAAACCCUGAAGCAGCAACGCCGCGUGGAGGAUGAAUGUUUUAGGAUUGUAAACUUCUUUUGUUAGAGAAGUUUAUGAAGGCAUCUAACGAAUAAGCACUGUCUUACUUCGUGCCAGCUGCCGCGGUAAUAAGGAGGGUGCAAGCGUUAUUCGGAUUAACUGGGCGUUAUGAGGGCGUAUGGGGGGUAAUAAGUCAGAUGUGAAAUCCUUAAGCUUAACUACAGAACUGCAUUUGAAACUGUUAAUUUGGAGUGUGGGAGAGGUAGGUGGAAUUCGUGGUGUAGCGGUAAAAUCCGUAGAGAUCAAGAAGAAUUCUCAUUGCGAAGGCGACCUGCUGGAACAUUACUGACGCUGAUGCACGAAAGCGUGGGGAGCAAACAGGAUUAGAUACCCUAGUAGUC
rnacentral:rRNA from 1 species